ACUGAGCCACCAUACCGCAACAAAAACAUUCCGGUCACAGGGAACAACUCCUGUACAACAUAGAUUAUUUAAAAGCAUAACAGUGCAAAGAAAAGAGAUAAAAUAAUACUCAAUCAUCACCGUUCUCCUAUUUGGACGCGUGCCUGUACUUUUUUUUCCACUCCUAUGAGGACAUGAAUUAUUUUUCACCCCCCGAGCUUAUACAGUAUAACUGCUAUACUUGCAGUUAUGGAGUCAAAGCAUAAUAAAUGAGUUCAUUAUCUAACGGUACCUGAUAAAGGUAGAUCUAUAAAUAGAGGACAUCUCCACUGUGGUAACUCUACCAACCAAGUUUCAAUUACGUGUGUCUUUUUUUAGGCCCGCCUCGCACACGCAGUGGCAAAGGUUCCUGUUGCCUUGGAUACAGGGCAGAAGAGCAGUCAGAUCCGGGAGGCGAAGCAGUUUCCUGGUUGCAAUUUGCAUAGAAGAUUAAAUUUUAAAACCCAGUUCACCUCUCAGAAUAUUGUAAGCAAUGUAGAAAGGAUCCGGUUGCAGACCUAUCUGAGAGACAGCACACACCACCUCCAGAGAAUUAAAGAACAAAAGGAAAACAAUAUGAACUGUGAAGUGAACAAAGGGCUAACAUGAUGUGCUAAAGUCAGGACUGAAGACAUCUGGCACAGAAUUGGACCUGAGACUUUUCGGUUAAUUGUUCUCCCUGAACUGAUCCAGUCGCUCCCUCCCUGGUUUCUUCCUACAGCUGGAUUGGGUCACCACCAGGGAAACGGUCUGCAUGGAAGUGGGCUGAGCAGAAGGAGGUGUCUACAUAUCAUGCAAUGUUCAGACUGCCUUUAAACCAGGAUCUGCGGGUCACUGACACACAAAAAUGUCAAAC